rnacentral:lncRNA from 1 species
AUUUCUCUAGCAUCUGGUUCCAGAACGAUAGGAACUGAGUAAUGUUAAGAUCAGAGGCGGUGUGACCCUGUCUCUACAAAAGAUUUUUAAAGCCCUCUCCCCUCUCCCCUCUCCCCUCUCCCUCUCCGUCUCCCCACGGUCUCCCUCUCCCUCUCUUGCCACGGUCUCCCUCUGAUGCCCAGCCGAAGCUGGACUGUGCUGCUGCCAUCUUGGCUCACUGCAACCUCCCUGCCUGAUUCUCCUGCCUCAGCCUGCCGAGUGCCUGCGAUUGUAGGCGCGGGCCCCCACGCCUGACUGGUUUUCGUAUUUUUUUGGUGGAGAGGGGGUUUCGCUGUGUUGGCUGGGCUGGUUUCCAGCUCCUAACCGCGAGUGAUCCGCCAGCCUCGGCCUCCCGAGUUGCCGGGAUGGCAGACGGAGUUGCGUUCACUCAGUGCUCAAUGGUGCCCAGGCUGGAGUGCAGUGGCGUGAUCUCUGCUCGCUACAACCUCCACCUCCCAGCUGCCUGCCUUGGCCCCCCAAAGUGCCGAGAUUGCAGCCUCUGCCCGGCCGCCACCCCGUCUAGGAAGUGAGGAGCGUCUCUGCCUGGCCGCCCAUCGUCUGGGAUGUGAGGAGCCUCUCUGCCUGGCUGCCCAGUCUGGAAAGUGAGGAGCGUCUCUGCCCGGCCGCCAUCCCAUCUAGGAAGUGAGGAGUGUCUCUGCCCGGCCGCCCAUCAUCUGAGAUGUGGGGAGCACCUCUGCCCUGCCGCCCCGUCUGGGAUGUGAGGAGUGUCUCUGCCCGGCCGCCCCGUCUGAGAAGUGAGGAGACCCUCUGCCUGGCAACCGCCCCGUCUGAGAAGUGAGAAGCCCCUCCGCCCGGCAGCCACACCGUCUGAGAAGCGAGGAGCCCCUCCGCCCAGCAGCCACCCCGUGUGGGAAGUGAGGAGCGUCUCCGCCCGACAGCCACCCCGUCCGGGAGGGAGGUGGGGGGUCAGCCCCCCGCCCGGCCAGCCGCCCCGUCCAGAAGGGAGGUGGGGGGGUCAGCCCCCCGCCCGGCCAGCCGCCCCGUCCGGGAGGUGAGGGGCGCCUCUGCCUGGCCGCCCCUACUGGGAAGUGAGGAGCCCCUCUGCCCCGCCAGCCGCCCUGUCCGGGAGGGAGGUGGGGGGGUUCAGCCCCCCGCCCAGCCAGCCACCCCGUCCGGGAGGUGAGGGGCGCCUCUGCCCGGCCGCCCCUACUGGGAAGUGAGGAGCCCCUCUGCCCGGCCACCACCCCGUCUGGGAGGUGUACUCAACAGCUCAUUGAGAACAGGCCAUGAUGACAAUGGCGGUUUUGUGGAAUAGAAAGGGGGGAAAGGUGGGGAAAAGAUUGAGAAAUCGGAUGGCUGCCGUGUCUGUGUAGAAAGAGGUAGACAUGGGAGACUUUUCAUUUUGUUCUGUACUAAGAAAAAUUCUUCUGCCUUGGGAUCCUGUUGAUCUGUGACCUUACCCCCAACCCUGUGCUCUCUGAAACAUGUGCUGUGUCUACUCAGGGUUGAAUGGAUUAAGGGUGGUGCAAGAUGUGCUUUGUUAAACAGAUGCUUGAAGGCAGCAUGCUCGUUAAGAGUCAUCGCCACUCCCUAAUCUCAAGUACCCAGGGACACAAACACUGCGGAAGGCCGCAGGGUCCUCUGCCUAGGAAAACCAGAGACCUUUGUUCACUUGUUUAUCUGCUGACCUUCCCUCCACUAUUGUCCUGUGACCCUGCCAAAUCCCCCUCUGCGAGAAACACCCAAGAAUGAUCAAUAAAAAAAAUAAAAUAAAAAAU